AUGCUUAGCCUGAUUAAAUCCUUAUUUCUCGCCCAACGAGCUGCUGGAGAGCCCAAGUCAGUGGCUACUGGAAAUUUGAUCAAAACCUCUCACCCCUUCGUUGCCUUGCGAGGCAGACGCAAAGGCUCCUCUCUUAAGCUUUGCCCAACGAGGCACACCAGAACAAAUACUUUUGUUUCUCUUCUAGCAUAA